rnacentral:rRNA from 1 species
GAUGAACGCUGGCGGCGUGCCUAAUACAUGCAAGUCGGGCGAACGGACGAGAAUCUUGCUUCUCUGAUGUUAUCGGCGGACGUGUGAGUAACACGUGUAUAACCUACCUAUAAUACUUGGAUAACUUCGGGAAACCUUCUCUAAUACCGGAUGAUAUUUUGAACCUCAUUUUUCAACAUUGAAAUACUGUCUUGCUGUCACUUAUCGAUUGAUCCGCGCUGCAUUAGCUAGUUGGUAAGGUAACGGCUUACCAAGGCAACGAUGCAUAGCCGACCUGAGAGGGUGAUCGGCCAAACUGGAACUGAGACACGGUCAAGAAGCCUAAGGGAGGCAGCAGUAGGGAAUAUUACGCAGUGGGCGAAAGAAGGACGGAGCAACGCCGAGUGAGUGAUGAAGGGCUGCGGAUCGGAAAACGCUGUUAGUAGGGAAGAAAAUAUGUGUAAGUAAAAGUGAACAGAGUGACGGUAACAAAUAAGAAAGCAACGGCUAACUACGUG